rnacentral:rRNA from 1 species
UACGGAGGGGGCUAGCGUUGUUCGGAAUUACUGGGCGUAAAGCGCACGUAGGCGGCUUUGUAAGUUAGAGGUGAAAGCCCGGGGCUCAACUCCGGAAUUGCCUUUAAGACUGCAUCGCUAGAAUUGUGGAGAGGUAAGUGGAAUUCCGAGUGUAGAGGUGAAAUUCGUAGAUAUUCGGAGGAACACCAGUGGCGAAGGCGGGCUCACUGGUCCAUUACUGACGCUGAGGUGCGAAAGCGUGGGGAGCAAACAGG